rnacentral:lncRNA from 1 species
CUUUGAAACCCCCGGCUGAUCUGUUUGUGUUCAGCAAAGGAGAAAAUUUGUCUGCCUGUUGGACCAGUCCACUUGAAGAUCCACCAGAUGGUUACCACAUCACCUCCCACCCUGUAGAUGAUCCCAUUGCCUCCUCUCUGUGGGCUAACCUGUCUUAUUCGGGAGAUAAUAAUAAAAUGUGUGCUCAGUUGGGCACAUUUACACCUGGUCAGACAUACGAGGUGGGAGUCACAGCUGUGAGAGGAAAAGACAGAAGUGAAAAAACUAGUAUCAGACACACCACAGGUAACGUAAAAAAAAGAAAAUCAUGAUGGAAGUUUUUAUAUAUUUAUAUGUAUUUUCGUUCUUUUUUGUAUAGCUCCAUUGCCUGUAAAGGUGGCUGUUCCAUUUUUGGUGGGCACAAAAAAUACACAACUAUACAUUCAACCUCCAAAGAUGGGCCUGAUAGACAGAGUGAAAGUGUGUGCAUGUCCUGGAGUUUGUGACAGAGAGUGUGAGGUUAUAUGCGAGUAUCAGUGUGAGUGGUACUCCCUACCUGCUGAUAUCAAUAUUGUAACUAUUAGCAACCUUAAUCCAGGAUCGCAGUACCAACUUGUCAUAUACAGCAUCAGUGGACAGCGGACUGGACCACCAUAUUACACCCAACCCAUCAAAACAAGCUUGGCUCCUCCCAGAGGUCUCAGGGAGGGAGAGGUGACAGAGUCAUCAAUACAGCUACUUUGGGAUCCACUUCAAGAACAGACAAGCAGUUACGAGGUCAUCUGUCUGAACUGUGAACCCUCUCUUAGGGUACAGAAGGUCUUCAGUCAGAGUGCAGUGUUUUCCAGUCUAACUCCCAGUUCCCUCUAUCAAUUUUUUCUUCGAACGGAGAAGGAGACUUUCGCUGAUAGUUCACCUGUCACAAUUAACAUCACUACAGCUCCUGACUCAGUGGAAGUGUUUCUUGUCAAUAAGACCACAUCAUCUAUAUGCAUCAGCUGGAGCACCCCCAGGGGAUUGGUUAGUGCAUUCAUCUUGUCAGUCAAGAACAGAACAUCCAUUCAGGAGCUGAUCAUCUCUAAUGAGAAGCGCAGGUCAGGCUAA